UGGGGAAUUUUGCACAAUGGGGGAAACCCUGAUGCAGCGACGCCGCGUGAUUUAGAAGGCCUUCGGGUUGUAAAAAUCUUUUCUAUGGGAAGAAAAUGACAGUACCAUAGGAAUAAGGACCGGCUAAUUACGUGCCAGCAGCCGCGGUAAUACGUAAGGUCCGAGCGUUGUCCGGAAUCAUUGGGCGUAAAGGGUACGUAGGCGGGUAAGCAAGUUAGAAGUGAAAUCCUAUAGCUCAACUAUAGUAAGCUUUUAAAACUGCUCAUCUUGAGGUAUGGAAGGGGAAGUGGAAUUCCUAGUGUAGCGGGGAAAUGGGCAGAUAUUAGGAGGAAUACCGGUGGCGGAGGCGACUUUCUGGCCAUAUCCUGACGCUUAGGUACGAAAGCGUGGGUAGCAAACAGG
rnacentral:rRNA from 1 species